UACAGAGGGGGCAAGCGUUAUUCGGAAUUAUUGGGCGUAAAGGGCGCGUAGGCGGCUUUGCAAGUGACGGGUGAAAUCCCACGGCUUAACCGUGGAACUGCCUGUCAGACUGCAUGGCUUGAGACCAGGAGAGGUGAGUGGAAUUCCCAGUGUAGCGGUGAAAUGCGUAGAUAUUGGGAGGAACACCAGUGGCGAAGGCGGCUCACUGGACUGGUAUUGACGCUGAGGCGCGAAAGCCAGGGGAGCAAACGGG
rnacentral:rRNA from 1 species